rnacentral:rRNA from 1 species
AUUGAACGCUGGCGGCAUGCCUUACACACGCAAGUCGAACGGCAGCACGGGUGCUUGCACCUGGUGGCGAGUGGCGAACGGGUGAGUAAUACAUCGGAACGUACCUUAUCGUGGGGGAUAACGCAGCGAAAGCUGUGCUAAUACCGCAUACGCCCUGAGGGGGAAAGCGGGGGAUCGCAAGACCUCGCGCGAUUAGAGCGGCCGAUGCCUGAUUAGCUAGUUAGUGGGGUAAAAGCCCACCAAGGCGACGAUCAGUAGCUGGUCUGAGAGGACGAUCAGCCACACUGGGACUGAGACACGGCCCAGACUCCUACGGGAGGCAGCAGUGGGGAAUUUUGGACAAUGGGGGCAACACUGAUCCAGCAAUGCCGCGUGAGUGAAGAAGGCCUUCGGGUUGUAAAGCUCUUUUGUCAGGGAAGAAACACCGGCUCUAACACAGUCCGGGAAUGACGGUACCUGAAGAAUAAGCACCGGCUAACUACGUGCCAGCCGCCGCCGUAA